AGGACGAACGCUGGCGGCGUGCCUAACACAUGCAAGUGGAGCGACGAACCAGGCUUCGGCCUGGGGCAGAGCCGCGAACGGGUGAGUAACACGUGGGUAACCUGCCCUGAUGAUUGGGACAACCCGAGGAACUCGGGCUAAUACCGAAUGUGCCCUCUGGCCUCAAGGCCUCUGGGGAAAGAGCUUCGGCCUCCGCAUCGGGAUGGGCCCCGCGGCCCAUUAGCUUGUUGGUGAGGUAACGGCUCACCAAGGCAACGAUGGGUAGC
rnacentral:rRNA from 1 species